AUUGAACGCUGGCGGCAGGCCUAACACAUGCAAGUCGAACGAGUGGCGGACGGGUGAGUAAUUUCUUGAAAACUGCCUGAUGGAGGGGGAUAACUACUGUAAACGGUAGCUAAUACCGCAUACCAUCGGAUGUGCCCAGAUGGGAUGAGCUAGUAGGUGGGGUAAAGGCUCACCUAGGCGACGAUCCCUAGCUGGUCUGAGAGGAUGACCAGCCACACUGGAACUGAGACACGGUCCAGACGCCUACGGGAGGCAGCAGUGGGGAAGAGUGCACAAUGGGCGAAAGCCUGAUGCAGCCAUGCCGCGUGUAUGAAGAAGGCCUUCGGGUUGUAAAGUACUUGCAGCGGGGAGGCGUUACCCGCAGAAGAAGCACCGGCUAACUCCGUGCCAGCAGCCGCGGUAAUUC
rnacentral:rRNA from 1 species